CCUGUACUUAAGGGAGGAGGAAACACAUCUGAGUAGGGAACACAGGCCACAUGCUGCUCUCCAGCCUGCUGUGGGUGACAGUGGCCUUCACCUGCUCUGGACCCAGUGUGGCCCAGAAAGUUGUUCAAAUCCAGUCGGCUGUAUCCAGGCCAGCAGGGACGGCAGUCACCCUGGAGUGUGCUUAUGAGACCAGCCAGAGUUCUUACUUUCUUUACUGGUACAAGCAACUUCCUAGUGGAGAGAUCGUUUUCCUCAUUAGUCAGAGUUCUUAUAGCCAGACUGGAAACAACGAUCGCUACUCUGUCACCUUACGGAACUUAGCUAAAUCCAUCAGCCUCACCAUUUCAUCCUUGCAACUGGAGGAUUCAGCGAAGUAUUUCUGUGCUCUCUGGGAACUCACAGUGUUUGAAGUGAUAGUAAAAGCUGAACAAAAACCCCAGAGCUAA